UACGUAGGCAGCAAGCGUUGUUCGGAAUUACUGGGCGUAAAGAGUGUGUAGGCGGUGCUCUAAGUUCGGUGUGGAAUCUCCUGGCUCAACUGGGAGGGUGCGCCGGAAACUGGGGUGCUGGAGCGCGGGAGAGGAAAGCGGAAUUCCUGGUGUAGCGGUGAAAUGCGUAGAUAUCAGGAGGAACACCGGCGGUGUAGACGGCUUUCUGGACCGUAGCUGACGCUGAGACACGAAAGCGUGGGUAGCAAACAGG
rnacentral:rRNA from 1 species